rnacentral:rRNA from 1 species
AACGGAGAGUUUGAUCCUGGCUCAGGAUGAACGCUGGCGGCGUGCUUAACACAUGCAAGUCGAACGAACCUUCGGGUUAGUGGCGGACGGGUGAGUAACGCGUGAGAAUCUGCCCUCAGGAGGGGGAUAACGGCUGGAAACGGCCGCUAAUACCCCAUAUGCCGCGAGGUGAAAUGAAUUUCGCCUGAGGAUGAGCUCGCGUCUGAUUAGCUAGUUGGUGGGGUAAAGGCCUACCAAGGCAACGAUCAGUAGCUGGUCUGAGAGGAUGAUCAGCCACACUGGGACU